rfam:Schistosoma haematobium scaffold1468_1, whole genome shotgun sequence.
AUCCAGCUGAUGAGUCCUGGAUAGGACGAAACGCGCGUCCGGGAA